GAAUCAAAACAGAAUUAAAAACACAAAAUCAAAUUAAAGCAGAGGAUGAAUUUGCAAAAUGCGUGCAACAUGGAGGGCCAAAAGGGAAAUUAAUCCCACCCUUCCAAAACGUUGUGCAGUAUGGGAUUAAAAUAGAACAGAUUUAAUAUGUCAUGGAAAAAUUUGAAAACGAUAAAAACAAUGGUUUUGAAAUGAUGAAAAACAUGAAAGGAUUAAAAACGUAAAUAACCCAUCAAUGCUUAAAACCUAUUUCACAUCCUAAUUAAAAUCCCUAUUCCAUCUGCAACUUCAACAGCCACUUUCAUCUUCUCCUCUGCUUUUCACGCCUAAAUCCCCCCUUCAACUUUGAUUCCGACGAAGCAUAGCAAGGGCAUCGACGGCGCGCCAACACUGGCAGAACGUGCGUGGUGUGCGAGGAAACUGCUGAACAUGGGCGAUGUCUGCGGCGCUGUGGAAACCGCUUGUUGCUGCAGUAUUGAGACGAAGGGGCUAGGGUUUUUUUUUGAUGGGUUUAUUGGGCUAGGUUAGAUCUAUUUUGAGUGGGCCGAGUAAAAUUGGGUUAUUACAUAAUACAUGUAAAGAAUAAAUACUGUUGCAUCUCUACUUCAAUUUGGACUCGGUUGGACCCUUUAUUAAGCCACCCAAAGUCCAUUAAGUAACAUAAUUGGUAGGAACCAUCACUUAUUUAUAAAUACCCUAAGAUACCAUUUAGUAAAA